rnacentral:lncRNA from 1 species
UAAGCUGCAACAACUUAUUGAAUAUCAUGCAUCAUAAGAAAUUAUAUAUAUUCCCACCUGAAACCGUGAAAAUUGAGAGAUAUAAAAAUGUUGAGCUUCCAAUAUCCUUGGUUUCAUGCGACCGUGCACAGUGUGAAGUGUGAACCACUAGUUUUAUCACUUUAUGGAGUGUGAUCGAGCACAUGGGCUUUCGUCCAACACUUUGAUUUGUGGGGGAUCACUUCAAUUUUCAAUACAAAAAAGAGAAAUGGCUUUCUCAUUAAUUUGGGAAUAACGCGGUCAGAAGAUCAACGUUUAUAGAUGGAACGAAACAAAAUGUUUAAAGAAAAGAAAGGAUGACACAUUUUACCGAUGGAUUUAUUCAAAACUUA